UGGGGAAUAUUGGACAAUGGGCGCAAGCCUGAUCCAGCCAUGCCGCGUGUGUGAAGAAGGCCUUAGGGUUGUAAAGCUCUUUUACCCGGGAUGAUAAUGACAGUACCGGGAGAAUAAGCUCCGGCUAACUUCGUGCCAGCAGCCGCGGUAAUACGAGGGGAGCUAGCGUUAUUCGGAAUUACUGGGCGUAAAGCGUGCGUAGGUGGUGGCUUAAGUCCGUUGUGAAAGCCCUGGGCUCAACCUGGGAAUUGCAGUGGAUACUGGGUCACUAGAGUGUGGUAGAGGGUGGCGGAAUUCCCGGUGUAGCAGUGAAAUGCGUAGAGAUCGGAAGGAACACCAGUGGCGAAGGCGACACUCUGGCCCAAUACUGACGCUGAGGUGCGAAAGCGUGGGGAUCAAACAGGAUUAGAUACCC
rnacentral:rRNA from 1 species